rnacentral:lncRNA from 1 species
GUCAAAACAUUUGAUGAACUCAUUGAUUGAUAAGUAUUUCGAAGCACCAGGCAUUACUACCUUGACACAGAAUUAUUGUAGAUCUUGCACAAUAUGUGCUAAAUGUAACCCUGGGAAGAUUGUUAAAACCGCACCUAAUCACCUGGCUAAGCCCCAAUACCCCUUUCAGAGGAUACAGAUUGACCAUAUUCAAAUGCCAAAAAGUGGACGUUAUGAAUACGCAUUAGUCAUUGUGGA